CACGUAGGGGACGAGCGUUGUCCGGAUUCAUUGGGCGUAAAGCGCGCGUAGGCGGCUCGGAAAGUCGGUCGUGAAAUGCCGGGGCUCAACCCCGGGACUGCGUCCGAUACUCCCGAGCUGGAGGCAGGUAGGGGAGGUCGGAAUUCCUGGUGUAGCGGUGAAAUGCGCAGAUAUCAGGAGGAACACCGGUGGCGAAGGCGGAUCUCUGGGCCUUGCCUGACGCUGAGGCGCGAAAGCGUGGGGAGCAAACAGG
rnacentral:rRNA from 1 species